rfam:Mesorhizobium huakuii 7653R plasmid pMHa, partial sequence.
GCGCCAAAUGUUUCCUCCCAUUCGUCUGGCGCGUUCCCCUCUGGAGGUUUUGACCUUCACACCUGGCCGGGCCCCGAGUCCGGCCUUU